rnacentral:misc_RNA from 1 species
UUCUUUUGGAUCUCAAGCCCAAAAUCCAAUAAAUCUCCUCUUCUCAGCAGCCUUGCACUUUUCUCUUCCACUCCAUAUUCGCGCCAUCGUUCGGACAAGCCUUAAGCCAUUCCGAUCCCGAUCUCGAUUUCCCAUUUUUACCGGAUAUCUCCAUGGCUGCCUCUGAAGAAAAUAGUGCUUUGUUCCCAAUUUUCAUUUUGACAAUAAUGGCACUGCCUUUAGUGCCUUACACAAUAAUGAAGUUAUGCCGCGCUGCCUCAAAAAAAAGUAAGAGCAUCAACUGCCGGUGCUCUGAAUGCUUCCGAUCAGGGAAGUAUCACAAAUCAAUAUUUAAGCGGAUUUCAAACUUCUCCACGUGUAGUAACUUGACAUUGAUUCUUCUUUGGAUCAUCAUGAUAUUCCUGGUGUAUUACAUAAAAAAUAUGAGUCGUGAGAUUCAAGUUUUUGAUCCUUAUUCUAUACUUGAAUUGGAACCUGGAGCUUCAGAGUCGGAAAUAAAAAAGCGUUACAGGAGACUGUCUAUUCUGUACCAUCCUGAUAAAAAUCCAGAUCCAGAGGCCCACAAAUAUUUUGUGGAGUCAAUAACAAAGGCUUACCAGGCUCUAACAGAUCCGAUAUCCCGUGAGAAUUAUGAAAAAUAUGGCCAUCCAGAUGGUAGACAGGGGUUUCAAAUGGGCAUAGCACUUCCCCAGUUUCUGCUAGACAUUGAUGGGGCAUCUGGUGGAAUACUUCUACUUUGGAUAGUUGGUGUUUGCAUUCUAUUACCAUUGGUAGUCGCUGUGAUAUAUCUUUCAAGAUCAUCAAAAUACACAGGAAAUUAUGUCAUGCAUCAAACUUUGUCUGCAUACUAUUACUUAAUGAAACCUUCUUUGGCCCCAAGGUGAUUAUUUUAUUCCCAUUAUCUAGUAAUUUCUUAUGUUGUUCAUAACAUCAGUGGAUACACCAUCAUGUCAUCCCUCCCUCUUAAAUGUUUGCUAUCUAGGUUAGAACAGCAUUUAGUGCUCUUGAUAUUAGUGCUUCGAGUUGGUCACAAUCUUGAGAUUGCUCAAUUGAUUUUUUAUUUCACAAAAGUAAGAGUGUAGAACAGAAACUAUUGUUUUAUUGUGGCCACUUGACCAAUGAUGCUUUAUAAAGUAUGGGUUUACAUCAGAGUUUAUCCAACUCUGACUUUUAAGGUCUCCCCUUAAGUUUGAAAUCCCUUGUUUCAUGUUUUGUGUGCAAGUUUAUGCAUGUGCACUUGACAUUUUUUUUUUAAUUUCAUUAGGAUUAUCCUGGGAUCUUUUCUUUAUGAAUGUACUAUGUUUUGUUUAUUUCCCAUUUUUUGGAGAAUGAAGCACUGGGCCCUUAUUCAUGAAAAUCCAAGGGGAGAGGACUCUUGUCUAUUGUGUGUGUUUGUGUGGUGAUAUAUUUGUGAUGCCCAUCUUUAAAGAAUGUACUUAAUGAGGUUUAAUAUUCAUGCAUUGUUUUCUUUGCCAACGUCAUCUCUCUCGAAGUCAAUAUGAGUGACCUUUUAUAUGAUUGCUGUGUGAAUUUGUGUACCUUGAUUUUACAGCAAAGUUAUGGAAGUCUUCACUAAGGCUGCUGAAUAUAUGGAAAUUCCAGUUCGUAGGACUGAUGAUGAACCUCUUCAGAAGCUGUUCAUGUCAGUUAGAAGUGAGCUGAAUCUGGACCUCAAGAACAUUAAGCAAGAACAGGCUAAGUUUUGGAAGCAACAUCCUGCUGUGGUUAAGACAGAGUUGUUAAUUCAGGCUCAAUUAACUCGUGAAUCAGCAGCCUUAUCACCGGCUUUGCUAGGUGAUUUCAGACGUGUGCUAGAACUUGCACCUCGCCUUCUUGAAGAAUUAAUGAAGAUGGCUGUCAUACCACGCACUGCACAGGGUCAUGGAUGGUUGCGACCUGCAAUUGGGGUUGUUGAGCUCUCUCAAUGUAUUAUUCAGGCUGUUCCUCUUAGUGCAAGAAAAACUACUGGAGGUUCUGCAGAAGGGAUUGCACCCUUUUUGCAGCUGCCCCAUUUCAGUGAGUCUGUUGUCAAGAAGAUAGCUCGGAAGGUAAUUUGAUAAAAUCUUAUGUUGGAGCAUGUGAUGCAUGAACUUAGGUUUUAACAUGCCUCUUGCUAGCAUUAGAUGGGCAAGCCACUUUUCUCUCUCUCCUGUUUUUCUUCUUGUCCAUGAAGCUCCUUGAAAAAGUUCACUUACACAGAAUGAGAAGAUUCUAUGCUGUGUUUGUCAAUUUGUUGUUAAAUGUCUGGUAGAAGUACAAAUUCUGAGUUAUUUUUUUUUUAAGAAACAUGAGGGAAUUCAGCAUUUGAAGCAUUUGGAUAAUUUGAACAUGAAUUUAAUAUAUUUGGUUUAUGCUUAUGGUCCUUCCAAUGUUACUAUUAAAGAGUUUUUGUUGCUGAAUGCAGAAAGUGAGAUCUUUUCAGGAUUUUUGUGAUAUGGCUCGUCAAGAUCGUGCUGACCUCCUAGAGCAGGUUGCUGGAUUCUCCUUACCUGAAGUACAAGAUAUUGAGAUGGUACUGGAAAUGAUGCCUUCUGUAACCAUUGAAGUUAGAUGUGAGACUGAAGGUGAAGAAGGUAUACAGGAGGGUGACAUUGUCACCGUUCAAGCUUGGGUAACCAUCAAACGUGCUAAUGGCUUGGUUGGUGCACUCCACCAUGCUCCCUACUUCCCAUUUCACAAGGAAGAGAACUUCUGGUUUCUGCUUGCAGAUCCCAUCUCAAAUAAUGUGUGGUUUUCCCAGAAGGUAAAUUUCAUGGAUGAAGCUGCAGCUAUAACUACUGCUUCUAAGGCAAUUGAGGAGACUAUGGAGGGGUCUGGAGCAAGUGUUAAGGAGACAAGUACAGCAGUCAGAGAAGCAGUUGAGAAGGUACGAGGUGGCUCCAGACUGGUGAUGGGCAAGUUCCCAGCACCUGCUGAGGGGAGCUACAACUUGACUUGUUACUGCUUAUGUGACUCUUGGAUAGGUUGUGACAAAAGGACCAACUUGAAGGUUAAAAUUCUGAAACGAACACGGGCUGGCACUCGGGGUGGUUCUGUCUCUGAAGAGGGGCCCAUUGCAGAGGAUGGGCUUGAAGAGGAAGAGGAGAAUGAAGAAGAGGAAUAUGAUGACUAUGAAAGCGAGUAUAGUGAAGAUGGGGAAGAUGAAAAAGAUACAAAAAAGAAGGGCCCUGCUGCAAAUGGCACUGUGCAUAAAGGAGGCUCCAGCUCAGAAGGUUCAGGCACAGAAGAGGAAUGAAACACUAUUUUAUUUAUCCAUGGAAAACAAUAAGCUUUUAAUUUAUUCGGUGGAUGAACUUAACGAUCAUCUCAGUGAUACUGAUUUACUCUCCUCCCUCGUUGGUCAGUAGUUUCAAUAUUUUCGAUGCCAUGACUGGGUUCUCUACUAAUUUUACCCCGUCUGUUUUCAGUUGAGAUAUUUUACCAUGCUAUUUUGUUCUUUAACGAGUAGCUGCCGUCGCCACCACCACCUCCUUUUUCUAUCGCUUUCUUUGGGUGAGCAUGGUUUCAUCGGUAAAUAUUAUUGCAUUCCGCUUAAGUCACCUCAGCAGGGUACUCAUUCUUUUUCCACCGUUAGUAACUUCAGCCUUGACUCGAAUUAUCGAAUUUUAGUUGGAAAAUUUUCAAUGGUAAAAUGAAUAGCUCUGAAACAGUGUCCGAACAGAGAUCACGGAGAAGAUACCGAGUGAAUCCAACACGACGAGACAUGCCUGCAAUGCAAAUAAAGCACGCUCUCAUCUCUUUUGCUCAAUGAUUUGUCAUUGUGAGAUGUUUAAAAAUUUUUCAUUACAAUAAAUGACAGAAGUAG